GCAGUGGUGGUACUGUGGUAAAAUUCUCACCUUCCAAGUGGGAGACCUUGUUCAAUUCGAGCCAAUGCA
rnacentral:tRNA from 1 species